UACGGAGGGAGCCAGCGUUGUUCGGAAUUACUGGGCGUAAAGCGCACGUAGGCGGCUUUGUAAGUUAGAGGUGAAAGCCUGGAGCUCAACUCCAGAAUUGCCUUUAAGACUGCAUCGCUUGAAUCCAGGAGAGGUGAGUGGAAUUCCGAGUGUAGAGGUGAAAUUCGUAGAUAUUCGGAAGAACACCAGUGGCGAAGGCGGCUCACUGGACUGGUAUUGACGCUGAGGUGCGAAAGCGUGGGGAGCAAACAGG
rnacentral:rRNA from 1 species